rnacentral:rRNA from 1 species
CCUACGGGUGGCAGCAGUGGGGAAUAUUGCACAAUGGGCGCAAGCCUGAUGCAGCCAUGCCGCGUGUGUGAAGAAGGCCUUCGGGUUGUAAAGCACUUUCAGCGGGGAGGAAGGCGGUGAGGUUAAUAACCUCAUCGAUUGACGUUACCCGCAGAAGAAGCACCGGCUAACUCCGUGCCAGCAGCCGCGGUAAUACGGAGGGUGCAAGCGUUAAUCGGAAUUACUGGGCGUAAAGCGCACGCAGGCGGUCUGUCAAGUCGGAUGUGAAAUCCCCGGGCUCAACCUGGGAACUGCAUUCGAAACUGGCAGGGUAGAGUCUUGUAGAGGGGGGUAGAAUUCCAGGUGUAGCGGUGAAAUGCGUAGAGAUCUGGAGGAAUACCGGUGGCGAAGGCGGCCCCCUGGACAAAGACUGACGCUCAGGUGCGAAAGCGUGGGGAGCAAACAGGAUUAGAUACCCCAGUAGUC